AUUGAACGCUGGCGGCAGGCCUAACACAUGCCAGUCGAACGGUAACAGGAAGAAGCUUGCUUCUUUGCUGACGAGUGGCGGACGGGUGAGUAAUGUCUGGGAAACUGCCUGAUGGAGGGGGAUAACUACUGGAAACGGUAGCUAAUACCGCAUAACGUCGCAAGACCAAAGGGGGGGACCUUCGGGCCUCUUGCCAUCGGAUGUGCCCAGAUGGGAUUAGCUAGUAGGUGGGGUAACGGCUCACCUAGGCGACGAUCCCUAGCUGGUCUGAGAGGAUGACCAGCCACACUGGAACUGAGACACGGUCCAGACUCCUACGGGAGGCAGCAGUGGGGAAUAUUGCACAAUGGGCGCAAGCCUGAUGCAGCCAUGCCGCGUGUAUGAAGAAGGCCUUCGGGUUGUAAAGUACUUUCAGCGGGGAGGAAGGGAGUAAAGUUAAUACCUUUGCUCAUUGACGUUACCCGCAGAAGAAGCACCGGCUAACUCCGUG
rnacentral:rRNA from 1 species